GUCGUAACAAGGUUUCCGUAGGUGAACCUGCGGAAGGAUCAUUACCGAGUUCGUGCCCUCCGGGGUAGAUCUCCCACCCUGUGUACCACACCUUUUUGCUUUGGCGGGCUGUUGGGUUUCGACCAUCUACCCCCCGGUGGAUGUGUGCCCGCCGAAGGUCCUUUACACUCUGUUAUAAUGUGUCGGUCUGAGUUAGCGAUAUAAUUGUCAAAACUUUCAACAACGGAUCUCUUGGUUCUGGCAUCGAUGAAGAACGCAGCGAAAUGCGAUAAGUAAUGCGAAUUGCAGAAUUCCGUGAGCCAUCGAAUCUUUGAACGCACAUUGCGCCCCUUGGCAUUCCGAGGGGCAUGCCUGUCCGAGCGUCAUGAACAUCCCUCGAGCCUUAGCUUGGUCUUGGAUCAGGUCGAUCUCGACCGGUCCCAAUUGCAGUGGCGGCACCGUCGUGCUCCGAGCGUAGUCACAUCGUUUCACUCUGGAGUUGUGCGAGUGAGCGACCAGCAAUCUUUCAUCCGGUUGAC
rnacentral:rRNA from 1 species